UUAAUAUUGAAAAUGUUUAUGAUGAAAAUGAACUAAUGAAAACGAUAAAACAAACUGUCUACCUUCGAUCGGACGUGGCUCCUAUACUUAAUAACAAUUUACUUAACACAGCCCCCCCGAAAAUUAUCGAACUGCUUUAAAAAUUUGUAAAUGAAGGUUUAGGCUAGCGCUUGAACCGCUGCGAGUCCUUACAAAUUGGCUUCGUUAAAUGCCAGCCUUUCCGUGCUCAAAGCUACAUAAAAACUCCCAUUUGCAUUCCAAAGCAUUAUGUUAUCAGUUUUAAAAAUGUUGAUAAUAGAUGCUUCGAAUGGGCUAUACUUAGCGCAUUAUACCCUGUAGACCCUAAUUGUAAAGAGCAUGCAAAUUGCACAACUAAAUACAGUCAGCAUCUUGGCGAGCUUCACUUUGAUUGAAUUCCCAAUUCGAAAUCCAACGCUCUAGGUUAAUGUGAUUGCAUUGAAUACUUGUCUUUACCCAUCUUACGUUAGCAAGAAUUAUAUCAAUAUUUUAUAAAAACCCACAUUAUAUUUGGAUAAAAAAUUUAACUGGAAUGUUUUAAUAUAAUAGUAAGUUUAAUGCAGGAAAACACCCUUGCCACUGCUGUCUCCAUGUAUUUAGCACUGCUGUUUUGUUGGAAGCUAGACAGCCGAGAUUGCUUCAGUAUCGGAAAUAAAUGCAGCGGACUGUAAUGUCAGAAAAGGGUAAAAUGAUGUGUGUAAAUUUACUAAUCACCACAAACAGAUGCGCCUGCCCUAUAUUGUCUAUACGGAUUUCGAAUGUUUAAUCCCAAUAGAAGGCUUGCAAAACGAUCCAGCAAAAAGCUAAACUUUUAGCUGCGUUGCUUGCUUGACCUUCAUCUGCGAGCUUAGUAUUAAUUUUAUCAAUAGCAUCAGCACGUUUUUGUUUCCAUUCUGCUUUAGCUUUUUGUAAUAGUUCAUCAAUUAAUAUUCACUAUAUUAAUGUGGACUAUUUUGAGUAAAUAAUUAGUAAUAAUUCUCAAUUGAAAACUAUUAAAAAUAAAAAAAUAAUGUCAAGAAAUCACUUUAUUUACUUGUUUGAUAUCAACUCAAAGAGGCAAACGGGUGUAACCUAUGCUCUUAAAGAAGCGCUUAGGACAUCUAACUUCUCGCGAAUUGGUGUUAAAAAAAUAAUAUUUAAAGUCGCGCCGCCAACAGAAUCAAAAAUAUUUUUUAUCAAAUGUCCGGACGUAAAACCAAUAAGUUCAACUUUUAAUGGAGACAAAGAUCAAAUAAUUCAUUGUGGCUGUCUCACACCUGAUAGAACGAAAUUGUAUGUUACUUGGGAUGCAAAUAAGUAUGUUACUUGAUAAGCAAUAAUGUAUGUUAUUCGGGAAGCAAUAAGGUUUAUUGGAAAAAAUAUAAACUUGAUUUGAACUUGACCGAAGUAAAAUAAAACUUUAUUUAGACUUAAUCAAACUUAUAACGCUAACACUGAACUAAAUUGUAAGCAUUUGCUUUCUGAACUUUGUAAGCAAAAAGAAAAAGUUUUAAACAUGGAAGAACAAGAAGUGAAAACAAAAGAAAAUAUACCAAAGAAAGAAAAACCCUUCAUGGAUUCAAACAAUACUAACCUCGUUUAUGAUGUUAUCAGUGUUGAAGCAAUCGCGGCUAUUAUUUUGUCAUGAAUAAUUAAGAAGAGUUGCCUCCCCCUAAAAUAAUAAAACCAGCGCCUGAGUCGCUAACAGGGAUAGGUAUCAUUGUAACUGCAAUUGAGCCUGCGACCACUCCCGUUGUCAACCCAACUUUAUUACAAAUGGCGGCAGCGAUAGAUAAACGCUUUGAAAUUUUUUUCCUAAUUGUGCUAUUAUUCCGGAAUUCAUCUCCUAACACGCUCACCCUUUUUACCUACGACAAAGCCGUUUGAAAUUGUCAAGUUGAUGGGGUAUCAACUGAACAAUAAUAUGGAAAGUUGUAAAGAAUGCUUGUAUAAAUUGGAUUGCUUAUUUAUAGCAUAUCCAAGAGAACUCGAAUUAUGAGUAAAAUAACAAAAUAUUUUUGAUGGGCUUCCGUUAUAUGUUGUCGUGUUUGAAAAUAAUUUGUCGCAUUCUAUUGUAAAUUAAGCGUUAAUUAAUGUUGUAUCGCUACAACAUUAAUUAACGCUGUCUAGUAAUCUUAAAGCUAUUUUAGUCUGUUUUGUUGCUACUAACGGCGCUGUUAAAGUAACCCACAUGGUGCCAGUAACAUUACCUUGAUAAACUGUGUGCGUUUGCUUCAUUUUUACUUCCCAUCAACAACAAAACGUCUUUCAUCACAAUGGUGAACCCAACUUUGCUAUCUCUUUUCAGAAAUGUUAAAUUCAUUUUUUAUCUCCUCGAGUUGAGCGUUAUCAAUACCAAUUUUCCAUGGAUCGAAAUUUGUUGAAGCUGGUAAAUUAACACCUAAAGACCAAAAAAUACUUUUUACUGUAUAGUAAACGUGAAACUGUAAAUACAUGGCAUAUAAUUAUCGAUACAAUGAAGUUUAUUAUUGACACUCCACAAGCCGCAGUUGCGAGUGAUACGGCAAAAUUUAAAAUAUUUAUAUAAUUAAUGUUGCCAGAGGGUUCUACCCACGUUUGGGGUGGAUCAAUUACUUCUGGAUAUGAGUAAGAAAAAUGUUACUAUACCUCGUACGGAAUGAAAAGUUUGCGUUAACUUAUAUUGUUAGCGUUUCCAAGCCUAUUAUUCUUAUCGAACAACGCAAUAUACCAUUUGUAGCGAUAGGUGAACUAUUAGUCUCUUUACCGUCGUUAAUUGUUAAUGUUAUUCUUGGUAAAGCAUUAACAAAUUCAUACUUAAAGUUUGGAUUAAACUCUGGAGUGGGGUAAUAGUGCUUUCCACCACCAAGAUAAACCCCUUUAGGGUUUCCAGCAACAAAUACGUUUGUAAAAACAGGAUAACCGUUAAACUUGCCUCGUUCUUACCUUAAUUUAAACUUAAAAUGGUCACGAGGGUCCCAGCAUCUUUGUGUAGCAGUAUCUACACAAAGAUGCUGGGACCCUCAUAACAGCCAUUUAUUUAUAAUAGCUUACUUUCUUUUAAAAUUUAUUUUCCAUUUUUCUAAUAUUUUGACUUCUUAAACUUUUCAUUAGUAUUUUAUAUAAAAAGAAAGUAAUAACGAUUAUGACUAAUCAUGUUUUGUAUGAAAUCUAAAAAGCUUAUUUUGCUCCUACAUAAAAUAAACAUCUGAUUAACUCGCCGAUGAUUGCAGGAAGAACAGCAUAUGCCUUUUUUGGUAGAUUUUAUGGUAGAUUUACAGAUUAUGCUAUAAAAACAUUUCUUCAUCCCAAUGGUUUAACGUCUUGAGGAGAACUUGUAAGAAAAGAAUAGGACUAUCAAAAUGCUUUAAAAAGGCAAUAUACUAAAACAUCAGGAUGAAGUAAAUCCCAGUCAGCCCAAUCUUCUCUAGAUCUAUUUCUAUUGAUAAGCGGGAUUCCUUCCACACCUUCAGUCUUUUUACGUGUAAGCAAUAUAUUAGAUAGUAAUCAGGUCUUUAAUAAAACAUUCAAUAUGGCUUCAAGUCUAAAUAGUAGCUAUGGAACUUUGCAAAACCCCUCCCGCGACGUUAUUAAAAGGCACGGACCUAAAAGGGAUAGGCAAUUUAUAACAGUUAACCUUGCCCUAUUAACUUUUGCAUCUCUUUUAGCCAACAUGGUUGUUGUUCCUGGAUCAGUCCGAUUAAUAUACGAUUUCCUUUUAACUCGAGGUACUGACUUGACCGUGAGGAUCGUUGCAAAUUUAGGAUGAGUAGUUAUUCAAAAACUUACUGCAAGCCCAAGAGAUACAAUCAUUAAUGGACUAUGGAGAUUACUGUAGUGUUCGAGACCUGUUCCUCCCAACAACUCAGCCGGCUUUACCUGACAGGCUUAUGCAAAGCAUUGAUGAACAAGCUGAGCCCAGAAGUCUUACUCGUCUUAGAUCAGGUUUUUCAACAGGUUGCACUACUGGCCCAAACGCUGCAAUUUAUCUUGCUUACGGACGCAGACCCCAAUGGGUCUAUGUAUUGCACUCCCCUCGAUUCUGAACUCUUCAAUGGUAAAGGACCAUUUUACCCCUCAAGCUUUGCAGAUCUGCUCGAAUGCGAAAUUGUUUCGCAAGUCAUUAUUUCUACUAACACUUCAACAACUCCAAAUUGUUCACUCAACUACAUUGCUUUGCCACCUUUUUGAAAAAAUGUUCUACUGCUUUGCUGACUUUUCUUGUAACUCAAGCAACAAAACAAAUAUGGUAAAUAGUAAAGACGGUUUUCAAGCUGUGACAACAAAUGGAUUUUACGCAGGCGCCCAAUAAUUUUUGGCUGACAAUUUCAAAUCUGCAAGCAAUCAUCGCUUAUCAGGAAGCGGUUUAAAACUAAGUAACUCAAGGGGAUGUAUCCCAAUAACUGUUUCUCGAACAACUGGUACUUGAUUAGUUGACGUUCUUGUGUUCUAUGUUUAGACACUGUAGUUCAGUUUGAGAAAGAGCAAUUCAGAAACGUUGUAUAUUUGUGUAAUAAAUUAAUCGUGUCCGUUAUGAUAUUAAUCUCUCCAUGGAAUGGCCGCUUGAUAGUACUAAACCAUGAAGAGAAAAAGUUUUCCGUACGUUUUUAAUUUCAUGUGUCAAGAAAUAUUUUCAGACCAGAGAGAGACCUCAAGUGAGACCACUCGGGAGACCUCUCAGGGUAGCAUCAAAGCAGAUGUAAAAUACACGUCACCCUCUCAGGGUGGCGUCAAACCCUUACUUUACAUCUACUCAAUGUAGAGCAAAUUUAAAAAUGUCGCAUUUAUCAGCAGCUUUUCUAAUUUUUUACUCACAGCUAAAACUACAUAUCAUUCUAUUUUAGAAGAUUGAUUUUUCUUGUAUAUAAUUUAUUAUUACCGUUAAUUACAUUAAACACUAUUAAUAAGCGAAGUUAAGUUAUAAAAAAAACAAUUUCUUUGAAUUUAUUACUAAUAUUGCUUUUCUUACAAAAGAAAAUUAUAUUUUAGAUUAAAAACAAAAUUAUCAAACUGUAUACAGCACCAUAUAAUGGUAGUAUGGUAUAAAUAACUCGAUAUGCAAACCUACUGAUGCAUUUCGCUUUGUUCCAAAAAUGAAAUUGGGUAAGAAAUAUUAACAAAAACUUGGAAAUCGUUCAUAUGCGUUAUAAACUUGGAAGUCGUUCAUUCGAUAUAUUUAAAAUUUACUGAUAUAUUUAAAAUUCAAUGAAACAUUAAAUGUAAUCAAUUUAAAAGACUAUGAAUUCCAUCACAUUCCAGCUCAACUAUUUGAUAAACUCUAAUUUUCAUUACAAUGUAUUAAAUGUUUUUAAAUUAUUGUUUUUUUUAAAUAAAUAUUCAUCAAAAAUUGUUCUUUUUUUUAUUGUA